GCUUGGUUGGAAGUAGGUGUUUUAUAUUUCGUAAAAUCAAUGGGUAUAGAUUCACCCAUGAGAUAUUGUAACAGUCUAGUCCUUAAUUCGGAUAGCGUUCCUAAAGUAAUACGCCCUCUUUUUAUAAGUUCUGUUUCUAUUUGGUUUUGAUUUAAAUUCGAUACGUUCUCUGCUACCGGAGUAAAAUUUGGGUUAGAGGGAUUCAUCUCUACACGGCCAAAAUAAUUUUUAUUGACAGUUUUUACAUUUAUUUAUUUAUUUAUUUUUUGUUUUUUUUAUUUUUGAAUUACCUAUUAGUUGGUUGAUAAUUUUAUAAAACGUUUAAGUUAAUAAUAUGUUCGAUAUAUUUUUUGGAGGUGUGGUACGAGC